AUGAGAGCAAGUUUACUGACCAAAGCCAAGAGUGUGAGAAAAGACAUGCAGGGAAGGAUGACCUCAACAAAUACACCCACACACUCUGGUGUAAGACCUCAUGAAAGUCGGGAGUGUGGCAAAAGGUUUAGUAAUAGGAGUAACCCCAAACACCACACCCUUACACACACUGGUGCAAGAAACCAUGAGUGUGAAGUUUGUGGGAAAUGUUUCAAUCAGAAGGGUCACUUCAACACACACACCCUUACACACACCAGUGCAAGAAAUCAUGAGUGUGAAGUUUGUGGGAAAUGUUUCAAUCAGAAGGGUCACUUCAACACACACACCCUUACACACACUGGUGCAAGAAACCAUGAGUGUGAAGUUUGUGGGAAAUGUUUCAGUCUGAAGGGUAACCUCAAGAAACACACUCUUACACACACUGGUGAAAGAAAUCAUGAGUGUGAAGUUUGUGGGAAAUGUUUCAGUCAGAAGGGUCACCUCAACACACACACCCUUACACACACUGGUGAAAGAAAUCAUGAGUGUGAAGUCUGCGGAAAAUGUUUCACUGAGAAGGGUACCCUCAAGAAACACACUCUUACACACACUGGUGAAAGAAAUUAUAAGUGUGAAGUUUGUGGAAAAUGUUUCAGUCAGAAGGGUAACCUCAAAUUACACACUCUUACACACACUGGUGAAAGAAAGCAUGAGUGUGAACUUUGUGGGAAAUGUUUCAGUCAGAAGGGUACCCUCAAAUUACACACUCUUACACACACUGAUGCAAGAAGUCAUGAGUGUGAAGUUUGUGGGAAAUGUUUCAGUCGGAAGGAUAACCUCAAAAUACACCUUGUUACACACACUGAUGCAAGAAAUCAUGAGUGUGAACUUUGUGGGAAAUGUUUCAGUCAGAAGGGUAACCUCAAAUUACACACUCUUACACACACUGGUGAAAGAAAUCAUGAGUGUGAAGUUUGUGGGAAAUGUUUCAGUCAGAAGGGUACCCUCAAAUUACACCUUGUUACACACACUGAUGCAAGAAGUCAUGAGUGUGAAGUUUGUGGGAAAAGGUUCAAACUGAAGAGUAUAUUGGACAGGCACAUCUUCAGACACUCUGGUCAUAAAGGGUUCAAGUGCGAUGUUUGUGGGAAACGUUUCAUGACUAAGUGUGAUAUUGUCAGGCACAUGAAGGUCCACUUCUCCUGAGGUGCUGUGCUGAUUCAGUUCUGCUGUGUGUGUGAGUGCAAGUGUUUGUUGUGGUGGUGUUACAGGGCUGUGUGUAGCACAGAGAACAGAAAAUAUUCAUCUGUUGGAACAAAUGGUGACUGUGACGGCAUGAUCUGUUAUUCACUUUCCACCCCAGGCUUCAUGUGGUUGGUGGGUCCUGUGAAAGGUCUGAUCUUUUUGGUGACUGUGCUGGGCUGGCUGUUGUGGCCUGGGCUUAUUGGUCAAGUGUGUGUGUGUUAAUAGUAAUAAUAUAGUGUAUUUGGUCUUACCAGCCGCUAAGCUAAAAAUGUACACAUUAUAAACACAUUGUAAAGAACAGUAGGUAGGGGUUCAGGGAUCUAACACAUCAGUGGGAGGUUGGAAUGAUAGUGGUGGGAGGGUUGAGUGCAGUGUGGUGGUGCCGGGGAGGGGGAGGACAUCCUCUUCCAGAUGGUGGCAAGGUGUUAGUCCCAAGGUGUGACAUUCAUGUAGGUGUGAAAGAGGGGUGACGAUAUGAUUGAGCACAUGCUACUUGAGUGAUGUAUGUAUAUAAGAGAGAAAAGGGGAUUAUGGUAACAGUUGUGACUGAAUGGAAUAGGAUGUUGGAGAGGGAUGUAAAAGGUUAAAUGCAUGCAAUAUUAUUUCAGCUGAGGUCAUUUUCAAAGCAGACAAUUGUUGUCAUUCAGUAGAUCAUGUCAUUCUUAAUCAUCAGAAAUCAUUUUCAAGACUCAAUUCUGACCUGUCACAUUGCGUAGAUCUUGUCAUUCUUAGUCAGUUGAGGUCAUCUUGAAGCCAACAAUUCUUGUUUCAUAGUUCAAUUCUUGUCAUUUUCCCUCUUUUUGUUCCUCAGAUAUAUUUUUCAAAUUAAUAUCAUUUAUUUCCAUUUAUUUCAUUUUGAGAGCAGGCAUUAAGGCCAGGUUAUGUUAGGUUACCUUAUAUUUAGUUUAAUUAGGUCAGAUGAGGUUAGGUUACGUUUAAUUUGAUUAGGGUAGUUAGUUUUAAUUGUGUUCACUGAAUGUGUAAUAUGCUUCAGUUAUAUAAUGUGUACUCGCCAUUGCCAAUGGAGCUUGGGAAUAAUAACACAUGACUUAGUCAUUCACUUUUUUUAUUGGAUUAACCUGCAGUUUGAGUAUUACAGCUUGAUGUAGCACGUAACAGCUGAUACAGCACAACAAAUAAGUAAUUACUGAGAAAUCAUCUAUACAGGAAGGUAGUUGGUGUGGAAGAGAAAUGGCUACUAACUCUGCCCUGUGCACAGGGGGUGAUAAGUGGUGCCACAAAGAGAUGCUCAGGGCUGAGAAAUGUAAAUCAAGUAGUGGUG